rnacentral:sRNA from 1 species
UGAUACCAAGGUCAAAAGGUCAUGCGUUUCAUGCUUGCAUGAAAAAGCAUGACUUUGGGAUCCUCAAAACAUGAGAAAGCAGCCCGAGUAGGGCAGAUUUCGAAUGUUUUUAGGAUUGCGGGAGCACAAAGCGCGGAGCAAUCCGUAGGUAUCA